GUGCUUGCUUUGGCAGCCUGUAUACUAAAAUUGGAAUGAUACAGAGAAGAUUAGCAUGGCCCCUGCAAGAGAAUGACACGCAAAUUUGUGAAGUGUUCUAGGUUUAA
rnacentral:snRNA from 1 species